AGAGUUUGAUCCUGGCUCAGAACGAACGCUGGCGGCAUGCCUAACACAUGCAAGUCGAACGCCUGUAGCAAUACAGGAGUGGCGCACGGGUGAGUAACGCGUGGGAACCUGCCCCGGAGUGGGGGAUAACCCGGCGAAAGCCGGGCUAAUACCGCAUACGACCUAAGGGUGAAAGAUUUAUCGCUCUGGGAGGGGCCCGCGUCGGAUUAGCUAGUUGGUGGGGUAAUGGCCUACCAAGGCUACGAUCCGUAGCUGGUCUGAGAGGAUGAUCAGCCACACUGGGACUGAGACACGGCCCAGACUCCUACGGGAGGCAGCAGUGGGGAAUAUUGGACAAUGGGGGAAACCCUGAUCCAGCAAUGCCGCGUGAGUGAUGAAGGCCUUAGGGUUGUAAAGCUCUUUCGGCGGGGACGAUGAUGACGGUACCCGCAGAAGAAGCCCCGGCUAACUUCGUGCCAGCAGCCGCGGUAAUACGAAGGGGGCGAGCGUUGUUCGGAAUUACUGGGCGUAAAGGGCGCGCAGGCGGCUCUGAAAGUCAGAUGUGAAAGCCCCGGGCUUAACCUGGGAAUUGCAUUUGAUACUCUAGAGCUUGAGUACGGGAGAGGAGAGUGGAAUUCCCAGUGUAGAGGUGAAAUUCGUAGAUAUUGGGAAGAACACCGGUGGCGAAGGCGGCUCUCUGGACCGUAACUGACGCUGAGGCGCGAAAGCGUGGGGAGCAAACAGGAUUAGAUACCCCCGUAGUCC
rnacentral:rRNA from 1 species